rnacentral:misc_RNA from 1 species
AACGAGGCCGACCUGCGGCUGAGUUACCUGCGGAGGGAUCAUUAUAGAGUGGUAAACCCUCCGUUAAAGGGGGGGACCUCCUGUCCUUUGUAGGCUCUUUUUAGGGCUUUUUUAAUUUUCUGCUUCGGUGGGGUUAUCCUACCGGAACAACCUCAAAACUCUGAUCAAAAAAUCGUUCUGUCUGAGAACCUUUUAUAAUAAAAAAAAACUUUUAGCAAUGGAUCUCAGAUCGGAAGAGCA